UACAGAGGUGGCAAGCGUUGUUCGGAAUCACUGGGCGUAAAGGGCGUGUAGGCGGUCAAGUAAGUGGAAUGUGAAAGCCCCCGGCUUACCCGGGGAUCUGCAUCCCAAACUGCUUGGCUUGAGUACGGGAGAGGAUAGGGGAAUUCCUGGUGUAGCGGUGAAAUGCGUAGAUAUCAGGAGGAACACCGGUGGCGAAGGCGCCUAUCUGGCCCGAUACUGACGCUGAGGCGCGAAAGCUAGGGGAGCAAACGGG
rnacentral:rRNA from 1 species